UCCAUGGCAUAUCGUUGCAUUAACCCUGGGAUUUCUAUGUUUGUUCCUCCUGCUGGCAAUCACAGGCUUAGGAUAUAUGUUUUUUCACAGGUGUUCUGGAGAAAUCAGGCAAGAUAUGAAAGCACCAGAAGACAAGAAUGCUUCCUUAGCAGAAGUUGAAGAUCACUUAUUUUACUACCCACUACAGCAUGGAAUGAAGACGAUGACACAUUUCAAGGAAAAUGGUACUGCCGUGGAAAAAGCUGUUACCACUUUUCAAAAGAGGAGAAAACUUGGGAGAGGAGCAUGGUGUCAUGCCAAGAUC